UUUAGGACAAAGGCUGGGAUGACAUCCGCUGCAGAAAGUAUUACUGAGAGCCUCCGUAGGUCUCGGCAGUUGAUGGUUCAGGAAGUGGAAAGAAGUGCUAAUACCUUGUCAACUUUUGAUGAAUCGACAAGUGUUCUCCGAAAGGCUGAAGGUGAAUAUCAAGGACACCGCUCUUUGCUGAUGCGCACCCGUGGUUUGCUCUCCACGAUGCAACGGCAAGAUGUUCUUGAUAGGAUCAUCCUGACUGUUGGGUUCCUCAUAUUCUCCUUGGCGGUUCUGUAUGUUGUCUCGAGACGUAUUGGCCUGUUGACACUGCAAAGGAAGCUGGCUGAUGCCAUAAGAUCGGGUUCAAUAUCAGCUGGAGACAUGCUGGGUAAAGUGCCCCAAGAUGGACCUGCCCCAACAAAUGCUCCUCCCAUCUAUGAUGAACUGUGA
rnacentral:rRNA from 1 species